rnacentral:rRNA from 1 species
UGACCGAACAUCAGUAGGGAAGUCGGAGAUGCUCUGUGGCGAGAAAAGCUGUGUGUAUUGAUUAGGCGCCCGUACCGCAAACCGACACAGGUAGAUGAGGAGAGAAUCCUAAGGCCAACGGGAGAAGGGUUGUUAAGGAACUCGGCAAAUUGACCCCGUAACUUCGGGAUAAGGGGAGCCUCCUACGGGAGGCCGCAGUGAAUAGGCCCAAGCAACUGUUUACCAAAAACACAGGUCUCUGCUAAAUCGAAAGAUGAUGUAUAGGGGCUGACGCCUGCCCGGUGCCGGAAGGUUAAGAGGAGAGCUUAGCGCAAGCGAAGGUUCGAAUUGAAGCCCCGGUAAACGGCGGCCGUAACAAUAACGGUCCUAAGGUAGCGAAAUUCCUUGUCAGGUAAGUUCUGACCCGCACGAAUGGCGUAAUGAUUUGGGCACUGUCUCAACAGCCCGCCCGGCGAAAUUGUAGUACUGGUGAAGAUGCCAGUUACCCGCAACUAGACGGAAAGACCCCAUGGAGCUUUACUGUAGCCUAAUACUGAAGAUCGGUAAUGCAUGUACAGGAUAGGUGGGAGCCAGCGAAACCCGGGCGUCAGCUCGGAUGGAGGCAACCUUGGAAUACCACCCUUGUAUUGCUGGUUUUCUAACCUGCGGCCAUGAAUCUGGUCGGGGGACACUGUUAGGUGGGCAGUUUGACUGGGGCGGUCGCCUCCAAAAGCGUAACGGAGGCGCUCAAAGGUUGGCUCAGCACGGACGGAAAUCGUGCAUAGAGUGCAAACGCAUAAGCCAACUUGACUGCGAGACCGACGGGUCGAGCAGGUACGAAAGUAGGAGUUAGUGAUCCGGUGGUAUGUGAGUGGAAAUGCCAUCGCUCAACGGAUAAAAGCUACCCUGGGGAUAACAGGCUGAUCUCCCCCAAGCGUCCACAGCGACGGGGAGGUUUGGCACCUCGAUGUCGGCUCGUCACAUCCUGGGGCUGUAUUCGGUCCCAAGGGUUCGGCUGUUCGCCGAUUAAAGUGGCACGCGAGCUGGGUUCAGAACGUCGUGAGACAGUUCGGUCCCUAUCUGUUGCGGGCGCAGGAGAUUUGAAGGGAGCUGUCCUUAGUACGAGAGGACCGGGAUGGACAGACCUCUGGUGCACCAGUUGUCGUGCCAACGGCACAGCUGGGUAGCUACGUCUGGACGAGAUAAACGCUGAAAGCAUCUAAGUGUGAAACUCCCCCUAAGAUAAGAUCUCCCAUCCAUUAGGAGUAAGGGACGACAGAGACUAUGUCGUUGAUAGGUCGGAAGUGUAAGUGCAGUAAUGCAUUGAGCUGACCGAUACUAAUAACCCGAGGGCUUGAGC